GGUAAUACGGAGGGUGCAAGCGUUAAUCGGAAUUACUGGGCGUAAAGCGCACGCAGGCGGUCUGUCAAGUCGGAUGUGAAAUCCCCGGGCUCAACCUGGGAACUGCAUUCGAAACUGGCAGGCUUGAGUCUUGUAGAGGGGGGUAGAAUUCCAGGUGUAGCGGUGAAAUGCGUAGAGAUCUGGAGGAAUACCGGUGGCGAAGGCGGCCCCCUGGACAAAGACUGACGCUCAGGUGCGAAAGCGUGGGGAGCAAACAGGAUUAGAUACCCUGGUAGUCCACGCCGUAAACGAUGUCUACUUGGAGGUUGUGCCCUUGAGGCGUGGCUUCCGGAG
rnacentral:rRNA from 1 species